CAUUUGGGCGGACCGCAAGGUCGCCGGGAAUGCGUCAGGGGAAUCCGGUGAGAAACCGGAACGGUCGCGCCGCUGUGAGCGGGAACGAACCCCGAGCGAAACCACUGUCCCGCCUGCAAGGCGGGAUGGGAAGGUUCGGGAAGUAGGCUGAGAAGCCCGCAAGUCAGAAACCCUGCCAUACGAACAGUCUCCGC
rnacentral:ncRNA from 2 species